GCAUGGCUCUGUUCUUUGCCUUUUGGGUUCCAGAGCGUUUGCUACGGGUUAUGGAGUGUUUCUCUUCUUGUCUUCCAUGUUGCCCGUUGGCGCCUCGGUGGAGUUUCAGUGACCCAAACGCAGACGGCUCUGCGUUGACCAAGCGUGAUGCCAAGAGAAGAGGUAGGCACCAGAACAGGCUGCUGGACUGGACGCUCCACCACCAGGUGCCGCUGUCAUUCCUGACCUCCCCAGGUUGCGGCGUUGGACGUGCCCUGAUCCUUGGAAAGGGGUAAGAGAGCUGUAUUUCAUUAUCAGAAGGUGAUCUCUACUUACGUUGUCUUGUUUCCAUCAGGUGGCAGUGGAGUGUUGUGACACUCCUGCGCGCUGCAAGGGCUCUACUGAGGCUCUUGGUGGACACAGCAGGAACCCGCACGCACAGAUGGAUGCCAAGAUCCGCUCCUUCCUCUGUCUGGCAAGUUCUGCUGACCCCUGAGGUCGUUCCCAUGCUUGCAGAGGUUCAGUGGGCUUGCUGUUGGUUGUCGCUUGUGCUCACCUUGCUGUCACCGGGUGUUCUUCCUUUGCCCAUCAUAGGGUCCCCGUUCUGGUGGGAUCUCCGUGCCUUCUGCUGAUCCCAGAGAACGUGGUUUGUUCUCUUAUUUCAGAUCUAAGUUGUUUCUGCUGUUGUGAUGUUAGUUUAGUUUUUUUAUUUUCUU
rnacentral:lncRNA from 7 species